GGAGAAAACAGUGAGAUCGAAAGACCUUGUGCUUUUAGAGCGGCCGAUGCCUGAUUAGCUAGUUGGUAAGGUAAAGGCUUACCAAGGCAACGAUCAGUAGCUGGUCUGAGAGGACGACCAGCCACACUGGGACUGAGACACGGCCCAGACUCCUACGGGAGGCAGCAGUGGGGAAUUUUGGACAAUGGGCGCAAGCCUGAUCCAGCCAUGCCGCGUGAGUGAAGAAGGCCUUCGGGUUGUAAAGCUCUUUCGGUCGGGAAGAAAUAGUUGUGGCUAAUAUCCAUAACGAAUGACGGUACCGACAUAAGAAGCACCGGCUAACUACGUGCCAGCAGCCGCGGUAAUACGUAGGGUGCAAGCGUUAAUCGGAAUUAUUGGGCGUAAAGGGUGCGCAGGCGGAUGUAUAAGUCAGAUGUGAAAUCCCCGGGCUUAACCUGGGAAUUGCGUUUGAAACUACAAGGCUAG
rnacentral:rRNA from 1 species